GCCGCGAUAAUUUGAUCGUGCAAAGGUAGCAUAAUAAUUAGUUUCUUAAUUGGGAACUGGAAUGAAAGGUCGAACGAGAAAAAUACUGUCUCAAUUUUAUUUAAUUAGAAUUUUAUUUUUAAGUAAAAAAGCUUAAAUAAUUUUAAAAGACGAGAAGACCCUAUAGAGUUUUAUAUUUAUUAAUGUAUUUUUUAGUUUUAGAAUUUAAUUUUAGAAUAUAUUAAUAAAUAUUUGGUUGGGGUGAUUGGAAAAUUAAAUAAACUUUUUUUUAUUAUUGAACAUUGAUAUAUGAUUAAUUGAUCCAUUUUUAUAUGAUUAUAAGAUUAAAUUACCUUAGGGAUAAA
rnacentral:rRNA from 1 species